rnacentral:tRNA from 1 species
GCAGACGUAGCUCAGUGGUAGAGCAGCUGUCUUUUAAACAGCGGACGAGGGUUCAAUCCCCUCCGUCUGCA